UGCGCACUCCUCCUCGGGCGCCCCUCACAGAGGUGCGCCGCACAGCCCUACCUUCUUUUAUCCUCCUUCUUCAAACAAGGGCCCAAGUCAUAAUUAUUGAGAGAGCUUUGUCAAAAUGGAUAUUCGCCCGCCCCUAGAUUCAACCUUUCUAAAAAUCUCUCAACUUUCUCAUCUUUCCCGGCCUCCUCUUUCUCCCUCAGUGACAUCUCCAAAUCUAAGAUGGCGGACUCAGAUCAAUUAUGAAUACAGCAGAGAGACCCGGCUACACGAAACCCCAAACUGUCUGCCUUAUUUUGGAAUAUUCUGCUUCCUGAAAGGAGAGGAUCUGAUUUUAUAUACUUGGUGAUUAAAGAAGAAACAUGGUCAGGAGCCAGGAGACCCAAGUUCAUAGAAGUCUGUCUUCUCAUCUGUGAAAGGAUCAGGCUGAGGCUAAGAUGUCUACAGC